AUUGAACGCUGGCGGCAUGCCUUACACAUGCAAGUCGAACGGCAGCGCGGGAGCAAUCCUGGCGGCGAGUGGCGAACGGGUGAGUAAUGCAUCGGAACGUGCCUAGUAGUGGGGGAUAACUGCUCGAAAGAGCAGCUAAUACCGCAUACGACCUGAGGGUGAAAGGGGGGGAUCGCAAGACCUCUCGCUAUUAGAGCGGCCGAUGUCGGAUUAGCUAGUUGGUGGGGUAAAGGCCCACCAAGGCAACGAUCCGUAGCUGGUCUGAGAGGACGACCAGCCACACUGGGUCUGAGACACGGCCCAGACUCCUACGGGAGGCAGCAGUGGGGAAUCUUGGACAAUGGACGCAAGUCUGAUCCAGCCAUGCCGCGUGCGGGAAGAAGGCCUUCGGGUUGUAAACCGCUUUUGUCAGGGAAGAAAUCUUCUGGGCUAAUACCCUGGGAGGAUGACGGUACCUGAAGAAUAAGCACCGGCUAACUACGUGCCAGCCGCCGCCGUAAAAC
rnacentral:rRNA from 1 species